GUUCUUCUCCCAAGGAAAGUUCUGUGUCACCACUCACAAUUCAUAACCAGGCAACUCUCAAAUUAUCCAUGAGGGAACCAGGACAGAAAGGCUGCCAGAGUUUUCUGCUGGAAAAUUGAUUCCCAGGUGUCUUUAUCCUUGCUGGGAUUUGGGAACACUUUUCUACGUUUGAACACCUGUUUUGAAGCACAGGUACAGUAAAAGCACCUGCACCUACCAAAGCCUGUGCACAGAGAGUGCCAUUGCUAAAUCCUUCUCAACACUGGCAGAGCAUCCAAGAAUCCCCUCAUCCUUGUUUUUCAGAGCACCUGAGUGACAGCUGGAGUCCAACUGUUACAGCAGUGCAAACAACAUCCAUGGGUGCAUGAACACACAGUCUAAGCCUGGGACCACACCUGAGCUGCUGCUCCUUGGUGGUUGUGAUUCGGGAGCAGCUUGGCUGAUCUGUACUGCGAGGAUCUCAUCUGCUACUCCAACUUCUUGCCCUGCCUAUGGCAUUCUUCUGGAUUCACCCAAUUUAAAGUGUGAGAGAGAAAGAGAGAGAGAGAGAGUUCAAGACAGCAAACAAGAGGUUUUACCUGGGUUUACCUGCGUGCCCAAGAGGUUUUACCUGGGUUUGAUGUCCCUGGAGGAGCGCGUGGCCUUUCCCUCGGCAGCAUCGCCACGGCAGCAUAGGUGACAUCCCCUGCCAUCCGUCAGCCUG